rnacentral:rRNA from 1 species
GUCCUAGCCGUAAACGGUGCACGUUUGCUGUAAAAGGAAUCGACCCCUUUGUGGCGUAGCUAACGCGAUAAACGUGCCGCCUGGGAAGUACGGUCGCAAGAUUAAAACUCAAAGAAUUGACGGGGCCUGCACAAGCGGUGGAGUAUGUGGCUUAAUUCGAUGCAACGCGAAGAACCUUACCUGGCCUUGACAUGCAAGUAGUAGAAGGAUGAAAGUCUAACGAGGUAGCAAUACCAGCUUGCACAGGUGCUGCAUGGCUGUCGU